rnacentral:sRNA from 1 species
CGGACAGCAGCGCAGGACGCGCUCAUACGAAGGUCAAGGAUGAUGACCGAGCCAGGAUGGCAAACUCGAUAAGGACAUUGAGUCCGGUCAGAAAACCCCGCUUAGGCGGGGUUUU